rnacentral:rRNA from 1 species
CCUACGGGGGGCAGCAGUGAGGAAUAUUGGUCAAUGGCCGGAAGGCUGAACCAGCCAUGCCGCGUGAAGGUCAGUGCCCUAUGGGUUGUAAACUUCUUUUAUAAAGGAAUAAAACGAGGCACGUGUGCCUUUUUGCAUGUACUUUAUGAAUAAGGAUCGGCUAACUCCGUGCCAGCAGCCGCGGUAAUACGGAGGAUCCGAGCGUUAUCCGGAUUUAUUGGGUUUAAAGGGAGCGUAGAUGGGUUGUUAAGUCAGUUGUGAAAGUUUGCGGCUCAACCGUAAAAUUGCAAUUGAUACUGGCAGUCUUGAGUACAGUUGAGGUAGGCGGAAUUCGUGGUGUAGCGGUGAAAUGCUUAGAUAUCACGAAGAACCCCGAUUGCGAAGGCAGCUUACUAAACUGUGACUGACAUUGAUGCUCGAAAGUGUGGGUAUCAAACAGGAUUAGAUACCCCGGUAGUC